UACAGAGGGGGGCAAGCGUUAUUCGGAAUUAUUGGGCGUAAAGGGCGCGUAGGCGGCCUGACAAGUGGAAGGUGAAAUCCCUCGGCUUAACCGAGGAACUGCCCCUCCAAACUGUUUGGCUUGAGACCGGGAGAGGUGAGUGGAAUUCCCAGUGUAGCGGUGAAAUGCGUAGAUAUUGGGAGGAACACCAGUGGCGAAGGCGGCUCACUGGACCGGUACUGACGCUGAGGCGCGAAAGCGAUGGGGAGCAAACGGGG
rnacentral:rRNA from 1 species